GUUUGAGAAUUAUGUAGGAUUCAAUUAGUUUACAUGUGGUUACAGUCUAGUAGAUUAUGUCCUUGGGCAACAAAAGUCCCGUUUAUAUGAUAAUUUAACUCUUAAAGCAUGCUCCAAUAUUUGCGUCUCAUGGUUAUGUCAAUAUGUUUUAGACUUGUUGUCUUCAAUCUUUAUAUAUCUUCCAAGAAUUCUGGUAUUUUAUGCUGCAAAAG
rnacentral:misc_RNA from 1 species